AGGUGGAGUCUUGGGUUGCUGUGAUGAGGGUUUGGUAGGUGGAGUCUUGGGUUGCUGUGUUGAGGGUUUGGUAGGUGGAGUCUUGGGUUGCUGUGUUGAGGGUUUGGUAGGUGGAGUCUUGGGUUGCUGUGUUGAGGGUUUGGUAGGUGGAGUCUUGGGUUGCAGUGAUGAGGGUUUGGUAGGUGGAGUCUUGGGUUGCUGUGAUGAGGGUUUUGGUAGGUGGAGCCUUGGGUUGCUGUGAUGAGGGUUUGGUAGGUGGAGUCUUGGGUUGCUGUGAUGAGGGUUUGGUAGGUGGAGUCUUGGGUUGCUGUGUUGAGGGUUUGGUAGGUGGAGUCUUGGGUUGCUGUGAUGAGGGUUUGGUAGGUGGAGACAAAAUCUUCAUCAGCGCAAAUUGAGUUAAAUGUUCAGUCGGGCAAAAGUCUUCAAUAGAACUUUCAAAACAAAUUGUAACACAACGUUCAACCAAUGAAAAGAUUGCUUAGCAUCGUUAGCAUAGACGUCACCGUGUGGACUACAUGUGGCUCGGCCAGCAGGUUAUGUUGUAGAAGCUUGGUCAGUAGGAUAGGUUG
rnacentral:lncRNA from 1 species